GACGAACGCUGGCGGCGUGCCUAACACAUGCAAGUCGAACGGACUUUUAAGGGGGCUUGCACCUUUAAAAGUUAGUGGCGGACGGGUGAGUAACGCGUGAGUAACCUGCCUUUUGGAGUGGGACAACAUCUUGAAAAGGAUGCUAAUACCGCAUAACAUUAUUUUAUCGCAUGGCAAGAUAAUCAAAGAUUUAUCGCCAAAAGAUGGACUCGCGUCUGAUUAGUUAGUUGGUGAGGUAACGGCUCACCAAGACCGCGAUCAGUAGCCGAGCUGAGAGGCUCUACGGCCACAUUGGGACUGAGACACGGCCCAGACUCCUACGGGAGGCAGCAGUGGGGAAUAUUGCGCAAUGGGGGAAACCCUGACGCAGCAACGCCGCGUGAAGGAUGAAGGUUUUCGGAUCGUAAACUUCUUUGAGUGGGGAAGAAUUUUUGACGGUACCCACAGAACAAGCCACGGCUAACUACGUGCCAGCCGCCGCAGUAACAC
rnacentral:rRNA from 1 species